rnacentral:rRNA from 1 species
ACGAACGCUGGCGGCAUGCCUAACACAUGCACGUCGCACGCACCCUUCGGGGUUAGUGGCGCACGGGUGCGUAACGCGUGGGAAUCUGCCCUUUGCUUCGGAAUAACUCAGGGAAACUUGUGCUAAUACCGGAUGAUGUCUUCGGACCAAAGAUUUAUCGGCAAGGGAUGAGCCCGCGUAGGAUUAGGUAGUUGGUGGGGUAAAGGCCUACCAAGCCGACGAUCCUUAGCUGGUCUGAGAGGAUGAUCAGCCACACUGGGACUGAGACACGGCCCAGACUCCUACGGGAGGCAGCAGUGGGGAAUAUUGGACAAUGGGCGCAAGCCUGAUCCAGCAAUGCCGCGUGAGUGAUGAAGGCCCUCGGGUCGUAAAGCUCUUUUACCAGGGAUGAUAAUGACAGUACCUGGAGAAUAAGCUCCGGCUAACUCCGUG